rnacentral:rRNA from 1 species
UACAGAGGGUGCAAGCGUUGUUCGGAAUUAUUGGGCGUAAAGAGCUCGUAGGCGGUCUGUCGCGUCGGCUGUGAAAUCCCGGAGCUCAACUCCGGGUCUGCAGUCGAUACGGGCAGACUGGAGUUCGGCAGGGGAGACUGGAAUUCCUGGUGUAGCGGUGAAAUGCGCAGAUAUCAGGAGGAACACCGGUGGCGAAGGCGGGUCUCUGGGCCGAUACUGACGCUGAGGAGCGAAAGCGUGGGGAGCGAACAGG